rnacentral:lncRNA from 1 species
GACUACAACUCCCAGCAUGCACAGCGAGGUCAACACAGCCCGGCUUUCCACUUCAGGACUGUGCGCCGCCCCAUGUUCAUGCUGGCUGUGAUUGUAAUCCGGUUGCCCUGCAAUUAAAAAACUGGAAGCUAAUCAAAGACGACAACUCCCAGUAUGCCAGUUAAAAUUAGAAAUCACAGCAAGUCAACAGGAAGCUCUCCUCUGCCAGUCUCCUAAAUCACAAUAUGGCCUUGUCAUGGCUGGAGUAUUUCAAAGGCUCAGUCCCACUCCAGAAUCGGCCCUGUCGCCCCCGCCCGCACUCCAGAGCCGGCUGAGAACCGCAGCGGCGCGGGAUCCACGUGCAGCGUCUCUCCGGACUGUGCCACUCCAUGGACUUGAAACAAACCCCAUAUUCCUCCUGAGUCUGAAGGAGAUCAAAGUACUCCAAAAAUGCAGCUGCUUCAGUGACAAGAGGGAAUUACCUCCUCCCAAGCCUCAGGAUCCCAGUACCCAACUUGCCUGCCCCAGGCUCACUCCCAUUCACACAGUCCUUCAUGGCAGUGUCCAGCUUCACCAGGUCAAAGCUACCUAGAUGUCAUCAUACAAAUUACGGGCUAUGAUGUCCACCUCAUUCUCUUUCUGGAAGGCUGACCUUAACUGUCCUGCACAUUCCUUACACAGCAUAUUUGCCCUUCUCCUAUACUAAUAAGCCCUAAAUCUUGGGGGUAACAGCCUGGGGAACUACCUGUCUUGCUACCACUCAAGACCAUACUUCUGUCCACAAAUUCCCCC